rnacentral:misc_RNA from 1 species
GAUGAAGAACGUAGCGAAAUGCGAUAAGUAAUGUGAAUUGCAGAAUUCAGUGAAUCAUCGAAUCUUUGAACGCACAUUGCGCCCGCCAGUAUUCUGGCGGGCAUGCCUGUUCGAGCGUCAUUACAACCCUCAGGCCCCCGGGCCUGGCGUUGGGGAUCGGCGGAAGCCCCCUGCGGGCACAACGCCGUCCCCCAAAUACAGUGGCGGUCCCGCCGCAGCUUCCAUUGCGUAGUAGCUAACACCUCGCAACUGGAGAGCGGCGCGGCCACGCCGUAAAACACCCAACUUCUGAAUGUUGACCUCGAAUCAGGUAGGAAUACCCGCUGAACUUAAGCAUAUCAAUAAGCAGGA